AGAGUUUGAUCCUGGCUCAGGAUGAACGCUGGCGGCGUGCCUAAUACAUGCAAGUCGAGCGGUAAGGUCCCUACAGAUUGUUCAAGCGAAAGUUUGAAUGAUGUGUUGGGAUACACGAGCGGCGGACGGCUGAGUAACACGUAGGAACGUACCCCAAAGUGAGGGAUAAGCACCAGAAAUGGUGUCUAAUACCGCAUGUGCUCUUCGGAGGAAAGCUUCGGCGCUUUGGGAACGGCCUGCGCAUGAUUAGCUUGUUGGUGUGGUAAUGGCUCACCAAGGCGAUGAUCAUUAGCUGGUCUGAGAGGAUGAUCAGCCAGACUGGAACUGAGAACGGUCCAGACUCCUACGGGAGGCAGCAGUAGGGAAUUUUCCACAAUGGACGAAAGUCUGAUGGAGCAACGCCGCGUGCAGGAUGAAGGCCCUCGGGUCGUAAACUGCUUUUAUAUGUGACGAUUAUGACGGUAGCAUAUGAAUAAGGAUCGGCUAACUCCUCAUACGGAGGAUCCAAGCGUUAUCCGGAAUUACUGGGCGUAAAGAGUUGCGUAGGUGGCAUUGUAAGUGAAUAGUGAAAGCGUUCGGCUCAACCGAAUAAACAUUAUUUAAACUGCAAAGCUAGAGGAUGAGAGAGGUUAUUGGAAUUCCUAGUGUAGGAGUGAAAUCCGUAGAUAUUAGGAGGAACACCGAUGGCGUACGCAGAUAACUGGCUCAUUCCUGACACUAAAGCACGAAAGCGUGGUAGCAAACGGGAUUAGAUACCCCGGGUAGCCCCACGCCGUAAAACGAUGGAUGCUAGCUGUUAAUCGGUAUUCGAAC
rnacentral:rRNA from 1 species